rnacentral:misc_RNA from 1 species
AAAUUUUUAUAAUGAACAGAGGCUCAAUUUGUAGGCUUCUACUCUAAGGCUUGCACAGUAAAGUUGUUUGCAAAAUUAGGAUGAAGAACUCUCUUAUUGUUUUCUUUUCAAUUUAAAGCCAUGUGUUCACUGUUGCUGCUUGCUGCACGCCUUCCCACAUUUUUAAUGAGAAGGUAAGGUCAUAAAUUUUAUGCGUUACAAAAAAAUUCACGGGAAGAAUGAGGCUCAAUUGAGUCAUUUUCUCCUAAUGCCCAAUUCUUUGCAUCAUUCUCAAUAAUGUGUUAUGCCCUUCAUA